GAAUACUUUUGAACAUAUUUUACUUAAUGAUAAGAUUUUUAUUUCUACAACUGAAACAAAUAGUAUUGAUGCAGUAUAUUCAAAAUUAGAAUAGUUUUGGCGAAGACACUCGUAUUAUGAGGUACUCAACACUAUAAAUUAGAAUUAAAUAAAAGAUUUUUAAGUGAACAUUUAUUUUUGACAAAUGUCAUUAAUAAUCUUUUAAAAUUAAAUACUAUUUAUUCUGACCUUUUUAUUCAUCACUACUAGUCAUUACUUAAUAUUAAUUCCAAAUUAUUAAAAUCAGAAAUGAAAGCAGCGAAAAAUUGUUUACCAAAAGAAACAUGGGAACUCGAUGAAUUAAUAAUAGUUUUAUAUGAGUAAGUAUUACCAAAUUUGAAAAUCUGUUAAAAGUAACACUAAUACUCUUUUUUACUACUGUUACUUGUGAAUGAUCCUUUUCAGCUAUGCAAAGGAUUAAAUAUGGCUUAGAUCGUCUACGGAAUAUCAUUGUUUUGAUAGAUUGGCAUUAUUGAACAUUGAAGAGGACAUUCUAAAAGAUUUAAAUAUAUUUAUUUAUGUUUAAUAAAACACACUUGAU